rnacentral:rRNA from 1 species
GGAAUUUUCCGCAAUGGGCGAAAGCCUGACGGAGCAAUACCGCGUGAGGGAGGAAGGCUCUUGGGUUGUAAACCUCUUUUCUCAGGGAAUAAGCAAGUGAAGGUACCUGAGGAAUCAGCAUCGGCUAACUCCGUGCCAGCAGCCGCGGUAAUACGGAGGAUGCAAGCGUUAUCCGGAAUGAUUGGGCGUAAAGCGUCCGUAGGUGGCUGUGUGUGUCUAUUGUUAAAGAGUUUGGCUCAACCAAAUAAGGGCGGUAGAAACUACACAGCUAGAGUGCGUUCGGGGCAGAGGGAAUUCCUGGUGUAGCGGUGAAAUGCGUAGAGAUCAGGAAGAACACCGGUGGCGAUAGCGCUCUGCUAGGCCGCAACUGACACUGAGGGACGAAAGCUAGGGGAGCGAAUGGGAUUAGAUACCCCAGUAGUC